GGAUGGAAGUGUUUACUCAGUGCCAUUGUAUUUUGGAAAUAUGUUACUUGUGUUCUGAUUUUAUAGGGGCUUGCAUUCAGAGGUGAAUUCUUCAUACAGUGAAAAGAGGAAGAAGUUGUGAAUUCUGGGCUUUUUCUUAGUUUCUUCAUUUUAAAGGUUCAUGACUGAAGGUGACAGACAACAGGGCAUAUUUAUUUAUCUGAAAGGAGAUCAAUAUGACAGUCAGAUUUACUACACCCAGAACACCUGCUGAGCUUCAGAUAAGAAAAGAAUGUGUAAUACUUAUUGUUGUAAUACUUAUUGUUGUUACUUAAUCUUGUGUAUCAACUAACAAAAGAUAGAGGACCAGAAGCCAAGGUUGCUAAUAAUGUUCUGACCAGAUUGAAAAGGAUAUAGACACAUGCCCAAUAGGACAGAGACAUCACUCAUCAUUUAGCCUUCCUGUCCAUUGUCUCUGGGUAUCUCUUUUCUCUGUCUAUGUAGUAGAGUCUCUCAAGAUGCAGUUUUGAAGGUGAUGGUCCCUCUGGUUUUUCAAGGAGAAAGUCCUUGAAUAAAAAUUAUUUCUUUUCCAUCAAGUCUCAGCUCCCAAAUAUUGACUUUUGAGCGGUACAAAGCCAAAACUCAGGUCCAGCAACACAUGGGGUGAUAGGCUAGGAAGACUAGGGAGAUGGAGUCAAGAGAAGGCCAUCUCAUUUGAAAUGAGAAAACUUAAGAGUGGCCAUUCCUCAAACAAGGGCCAAGUGUAUGAUAUUUCCUACAUGGAACUUUGUGUUUUAAAGAUAGAAUUCUAAGAGUUACCACCACCACCAC